UAUCAGGUAUCUGCUGUAUAGAUCCAAUGUGUUCCUAUUGGUUUGAUAUCAGGUAUCUGCUGUAUAGAUCCAAUGUGUUCCUAUUGGUUAGAUAUCAGGUAUCUGCUGUACAGAUCCAAUGGGUUCCUAUUGGUUUGAUAUCAGGUAUCUGCUGUACAGAUCCAAUGUGUUCCUAUUGGUUUGAUAUCAGGUAUCUGCUGUACAGAUCCAAUGUGUUCCUAUUGGUUUGAUAUCAGGUAUCUGCUGUAUAGAUCCAAUGUGUUC